rnacentral:rRNA from 1 species
AGCAGCCGCGGUAAUUCCAGCUCCAAUAGCGUAUAUUAAAGUUGUUGCAGUUAAAAAGCUCGUAGUUGAAUUUCGGGGUUAGUAGGUUGGUCAUGCCUCUGGUAUGUACUGGUCUCACUGAUUCCCCCUUCUUUAUGAACCGUAAUGCCAUUAAUUUGGUGUUGCGGGGAAUUUGGACUGUUACUUUGAAAAAAUUAGAGUGUUUAAAGCAAAGCUAACGCUUGAAUACAUUAGCAUGGAAUAAUGAAAUAGGACGUUCGAUCUUAUUUUGUUGGUUUCUAGGAUUGACGUAAUGAUUAAUAGGGAUAGUUGGGGGCAUUAGUAUUCAAUUGUCAGAGGUGAAAUUCUUGGAUUUAUUGAAGACUAACUACUGCGAAAGCAUUUGCCAAGGAUGUUUUCAUUAAUCAAGAACGAAAGUUAGGGGAUCGAAGACGGAUCAGAUACCGUCGUAGUCUUAACCAUAAACUAUAGCCGACUAGGGAUCGGAUGAUGUUAAUUUUUAAUGACUCAUUCGGCGCCU